AUGUGGUUUGGGCGUGUCCGGCAUCUGACUCAGGCCUCUCCAGGAGGUGCUUUGGGGGUGUCCUCAGGUUGUCAGGGUGUGUCUGGCAAGUUGUUCCAGCAUGUCUGGAGUGUCCUUCCAGUAUGUCUGGCCUGUGGUUCUGGCAUGUCCAGAAGGUGGUUCCAGCAUGACCGACACCUGACUGCAGGGUGUUCCGCAGUUGCUUCCAGCAUGCCCAAUAAAUGGUUCCAGCACCUCCUGAAGGUGGUGACGGUGCGUCCAGAAGGGGGCUCAGGCUUGUCCGGCAGGUGGUUCAGACAUUUACAGCAUCUGGUUCCAGCGUGUGCAAGACCUUUUUGUGGCGUAUCUGGCAUGUGGCUCAAGCGUGUCCGGUACGUGGUUCAUUGUGUCUGGCACCUUGUUUCGGCAGGUGUGACACCUGUUUCUGGCAUAGCUGGCUGGUGGUUCUGGCGUUCCUGGCUGGUGGUUCACACAAUUCUGGCAGGUGGUUCAGGCAUGUUCAGCAGGUGGUUCUGGCAUGUUGGUUACCCGGUUCUUGUGUGCCAGGCAUGUGGUUCCAGAAUGUCUGUAAAUUGGUUCAGGCUGGCCCGACAGGUGGUUCAGGCUAGUCCAGAAGAUGCUUCAUGCUUGUCCAGCACCUGGUUCAUGCCUGUGCUGGACCUGUUUCUGGAGUAUCUGGCAGAUGGUUCCAGUGUGUUCAGGAGGUGGUUCUGGCAUGUCCGGCACAUGGUUUCGGCAUAUCCAACAGGUGAUCUGGAUGUGUCCGGCAGGUGUUUCUGCUGUGUCCGGCAACUGGUUCUGGUGUAUUCGGCAGGUGGUUUCUGUGUAUGUGGCAGAUGGUUCUGGCAUAUCCAACAGGUGGUUCCGGCGUGUCUGGCAUGUGGUUCUUGUGUGUGUGGCAUGUGGUUCUGGUACAUUCAGAAGGUGGUUCUGGCAAGUCCGGUGGGUCCUUCCAGGGUGUCCAGCAUUUUGUCCCCGCAUGUCUGGCAGGUGAUUCUGGCAUGUCUGGCAGGUGGCCCUGGUAUGUCUGGGACCUGA
rnacentral:lncRNA from 1 species